ensembl:rRNA 5S_rRNA 5S ribosomal RNA
GAUUACGGCCAUACCACACUGACAAUGCCCGAUCUCGUCUGAUCUCGGAAGCUAAGCAGAGUUGGGCUAGGUCAGUACUUGGAUGGGUGAAUGCCUGGGAAUACCCGGUGCUGUAAGCA